ACAUUGCUGUCUCCAGUGGCAGUAAGGAAGAAGUGUUAGGUGGUUAUUAGGAAGAUAAUUAACCAACUUUGCCAUAGAAGUAAUGUGAUCUGAUACUUGUUUCAAAAUAUUUGCUAAACUGGUAUUUGGGAGUAAGAGUGAAAGGAGAUCUAUGAGGAGGGUGUUGCUUAAGUCUAACGAAGGGAUGAUGGUGGAUUGGACUAAGGGUGGUAGUGAGAAGUGGUCAGAUCCAAGAUGUAUUCUAAAGGUAAAUACAAUAAGACCUGCUAAGAGACUGGAUGAGGAAAAGAGAGGAAUCAAAGGAUGAUUCCUGGUUGUUUAGCAUUAGCAACUGGGUAACGGUGCUCCAUUAUAAGAUGGGAAAUAUGGAGGGAGAAACAGAC
rnacentral:lncRNA from 1 species